CCACUUGUGAGGGAUCACAUAUUCACAUUACCAGUUCCAAAUUAAACAAAAAAGUUCGAAGAAAAAGAAGAAGACGAAGACACGUAAUCAAUUUAAAAUAGCAAACUAACACUAUUUACAAUUUUCAGCAGCUACUAGACCAUACAAACAUUGACAAAACCAAAAUUCACCUAGCCAACAGACAAAAUAAGCAAGACCCAUUCGAGAAAUCGCAAAAGCAAGAACUGGACUGAGGAGAAAAAGCAGCAUUCAAAGCUCUACCAGGACGAAGUCGUUCUCGCAG
rnacentral:misc_RNA from 1 species